AAAACGACUCUCGGCAACGGAUAUCUCGGCUCUCGCAUCGAUGAAGAACGUAGCGAAAUGCGAUACUUGGUGUGAAUUGCAGAAUCCCGUGAACCAUCGAGUCUUUGAACGCAAGUUGCGCCCGAAGCCUUCCGGCCGAGGGCACGCCUGCCUGGGUGUCAUGC
rnacentral:rRNA from 24 species